ACAAACAACAACAACAACAACAAAAAUCAACAACAAAACUAGAUUUCCUAGAACUAUGUAGACCAGGCUGGCCUUGAACUCACAGAGAGCUGCUUGCCUCUGCCUCCUGAGUGCUGGGAUGAAAGGCCUGUGCCACCACACCAGGCAUGAUCUGAUUUCUUAAAGUGAAUCUUUCUCUUCAGAGAUUUAGACAGGCAUCUGAGUUUCUCUGAAGAACACUAAUACAUUUUCACACUACAUAUCUUUCUAACAAUGAUGCACUUGCAAGUGACCUACAGAUUUUAGAAUUUGUUCAGCUUUAGUUCUAAGUGGAUCUAUAUUUCUGACAAGCUCCCUGGCAGCAGAAACUGCUUCCCUGUUGUCUUAGUUAGGGUUUCCAAUGCUGUGAAGAGACACCAUGAUCAAGACAACUCUUAUAAAGGAAAACAUUUAGUUGGGGCUGGCUUACAGUUUCAGAGGGCCAUUUCAGCAGGCAACUCUCUUUUCUUAGGAUAAUUUUGUUCAAGAAGAACUCUUGACCCAAGAUACAUAUAUUUUCUAGACCUUAGAAUAUUCUAUUGCUAGAUUCUACUUCUGAGGAUGGCGAGUGCUUGCCUUAGUGCUUAACCUAGCUCAACAAAGUUCCAAAGCAGUGUAUAAACUGGGCGUAGUGGACAUACAUGUAAUUCUAGCACCCAAGAUGGUACAGGAUCAAAAUAAUCAGCUAUAAAGUAAGUCCAAGGCUACCCUGGGCUCUGCGAGAACAGUUACUUAGAUUAUCCCAAUAUACUCACAUCCAAAGUCAACAGCUUUAGCAGCAACUCUGUGUAUUCAGCCCCUGGACUCAAGGUUGUCAAAAUUUGCUGAUUAGGAGCAUGUAUCAAAGAGGAUUCUCUGAAUCUUUCAAAUAUUUGUAUGUCUGAUCAUAUAUAUAAUCAUACUUGUUGAUUGUCUAUUUACCUGGUGUCAUGGGUGGUGGCCUGCUAGAAACUGAGUAGCAUUGGUUCAAUAGCUAAUCAUAAACCAGUUUAGGAUGUUCCAUGGUGUUGUAUGUGUAUAAGAGAAACCUGGUCCAGGCUCUUCCUGAAGAAGUGACAUUUGAAAUGAGCUCUGGUUGUUUUGAGAAUGUGGCUUUCAGUUCUGUAGUUGUUCGCUAGUCCUUUGCCAGUAGGCGAGGCUCUGGUGACAGAACCCUGGGAGUCCCCUGGGUGAGGUCUCUCUGAAGGUCUUGGAAGAAGUCUGUUGUAGAUGCGACUCCCAUUUUCUGUGCCACGCUACUGUGGAAAUGACAUGUCACAGGCAUCCAUCUGUUCCCUGAAGUCCUCAGUUUCUCCCAGAUACAGCUGAGUACCAAGUGUUCCCCAUCUUAAAGAACUAAUUAUUUUAAGGUAAUUUAUCAUAUAGUUAUUUGUCCCAAAGAGGCAGAAAACAGAUUAGUGACCAAGGGGAGGGGUUUGUGACAAUCAGGUGCCUGGUUGCUCAUGUUUUCCAUUUGGCUUAUGAAGGUGUUUUUGUGAUGAUACAGGUGGUGACUAUAAAACAUUGUCUAGGACUGGAGAGAUGGCUCAGCAGUGAAGAGCACUGACUCUUCUUCUGAAGGUCCUGAGUUCAAAUCCCAGAAACCACAUGGCGGCUCACAACCGUUUGUAAUGAGAUCCGAUGCCCUCUUCUGGUGUGUCUGAAAACAGCUACAGUGUCUUUACAUAUAAUAAAUAAAUACAUAUUAAAAAAAGACCCAAC
rnacentral:lncRNA from 1 species